AGUGAACGCUGGCGGUAGGCCUAACACAUGCAAGUCGAACGGCAGCACAGUAAGAGCUUGCUCUUACGGGUGGCGAGUGGCGGACGGGUGAGGAAUACAUCGGAAUCUACUUUUUCGUGGGGGAUAACGUAGGGAAACUUACGCUAAUACCGCAUACGACCUACGGGUGAAAGCAGGGGAUCUUCGGACCUUGCGCGAUUGAAUGAGCCGAUGUGGGAUUAGCUAGUUGGCGGGGUAAAGGCCCACCAAGGCGGCGAUCCGUAGCUGGUCUGAGAGGAUGGUCAGCCACACUGGAACUGAGACACGGUCCAGACUCCUGCGGGAGGCAGCAGUGGGGAAUAUUGGACAAUGGGCGCAAGCCUGAUCCAGCCAUACCGCGUGGGUGAAGAAGGCCUUCGGGUUGUAAAGCCCUUUUGUUGGGAAAGAAAAGCAGCAGGUUAAUACCACGCUGUUCUGACGGUACCCAAAGAAUAAGCACCGGCUAACUUCGUG
rnacentral:rRNA from 1 species